CUGGACACCCUGAUUGGACACCAUUGUUUAUUUUCCGCCCAUGUGGAUAAAAGGCUUAACUUAAAGAUGUCCAUAUGUCUUUUGGCGGCCUCUUACUGCUGCUCAUCCAAGACCCCACUGCUGUCCUUAGGGGCCCAACUUCCAUUAAUAUUAAGCAUGACAUCCUCUACAGCAGAAGCUCCAGAGUGGUUUUCCAUGUUGAUUUAUGCUAUGAGCGGUUGGUUCCUCCGCUGCAUCCUGCACCUCCG